AGCGAACGCUGGCGGCAGGCCUAACACAUGCAAGUCGAACGAAAUCUUCGGAGUUGGUGGCGGACGGGGGAGUAACACGGGGGAACGUGCCGGUAGGCUCGGGAUAACUCAGGGACACUUGUGCUAAUACGGAAAGUGCACUCCGGGGGCAAGAUUUAACGACAUUUGAGCGGCCCGCGUCUGAUUAGCUAGUUGGGGAGGUAACGUCUAACUAAGGCGACGUACAGUAGCUGGUAUGAGAGGAUGACCCGCGACACCGGGACUGGGACACGGCCCGGACUCCUACGGGAGGGAGCCGUGGGGGAUCUUGCCCUAUGGGCGAAAGCCUGACGCAGCUAUGCCGCGUGAAUGAUUUAGGUCUUAGGAAUGUAAAAUUCUUUAACCGGGGACGAUAAUGACGGUACCCGGAGAAGAAGCCCCGGCUAACUUCGUG
rnacentral:rRNA from 1 species